rnacentral:rRNA from 1 species
GUCGAACCGUGCGAACGUUAUUCGGAAUCACUGGGCUUAAAGCGCGUGUAGGCGGACGGGGACGUCGGUCGCUGAAAUCCCCCGGCUCAACCGGGGAACGGGCGCCGAAACGCCCCGUCUCGAGGGACGUAGGGGGACCUGGAACUUCCGGUGGAGCGGUGAAAUGCGUUGAGAUCGGAAGGAACGCCCGUGGCGAAAGCGAGGUCCUGGACGUCUUCUGACGCUGAGACGCGAAAGCUAGGGGAGCGAACGGG